rnacentral:rRNA from 1 species
UACGUAGGGUGCGAGCGUUGUCCGGAAUUAUUGGGCGUAAAGGGCUCGUAGGCGGUCUGUCGCGUCGGGAGUGAAAACUCAGGGCUUAACCCUGAGCCUGCUUCCGAUACGGGCAGACUAGAGGUAUGCAGGGGAGAACGGAAUUCCUGGUGUAGCGGUGAAAUGCGCAGAUAUCAGGAGGAACACCGGUGGCGAAGGCGGUUCUCUGGGCCAUUACUGACGCUGAGGAGCGAAAGCGUGGGGAGCGAACAGG